AUUGAACGCUGGCGGCAGGCUUAACACAUGCAAGUCGAGCGGAGAGAGGUAGCUUGCUACUGAUCUUAGCGGCGGACGGGUGAGUAAUGCUUAGGAAUCUGCCUAUUAGUGGGGGACAACAUUUCGAAAGGAAUGCUAAUACCGCAUACGUCCUACGGGAGAAAGCAGGGGAUCUUCGGACCUUGCGCUAAUAGAUGAGCCUAAGUCGGAUUAGCUAGUUGGUGGGGUAAAGGCCUACCAAGGCGACGAUCUGUAGCGGGUCUGAGAGGAUGAUCCGCCACACUGGGACUGAGCCACGGCCCAGACUCCUACGGGAGGCAGCAGUGGGGAAUAUUGGACAAUGGGCGGAAGCCUGAUCCAGCCAUGCCGCGUGUGUGAAGAAGGCCUUAUGGUUGUAAAGCACUUUAAGCGAGGAGGAGGCUACUUUAGUUAAUACCUAGAGAUAGUGGACGUUACUCGCAGAAUAAGCACCGGCUAACUCUGUGCCAGCAGCCGCCGUAAGAC
rnacentral:rRNA from 1 species